AAUCAACGCUGGCGGCGCGCCUAACACAUGCAAGUCGCACGAGAAAGGUCCUUCGGGCGUGAGUACAGUGGCGCACGGGUGGAGUAACACGUGGAUACCUGCCCUCAAGUGGGGAAGUAACUUUGGGAAACCGGGGCGUAAUACCGCAUACGUUCGAGAGAAGAAAGACAGCAAUGCGCUUGAGGAGGGGUCCGCGGCUGAUUAGCUAGUUGGUGGGGUAAAAGCCUACCAAGGCGAAGAUCAGUAGCCGGCCUGAGAGGGCACACGGCCACACUGGCACUGAGACACGGGGCCAGACUCCUACGGGAGGCAGCAGUGAGGAAUAUUGGACAAUGGGCGCAAGCCUGAUCCAGCCAUGCGCGUGCAGGAAG
rnacentral:rRNA from 1 species